rnacentral:rRNA from 1 species
UAAGGGAUAUUGCACAAUGGGCGCAAGCCUGAUGCAGCAACGCCGCGUGCCCGAUGAAAGGCCUUCGGGUCGUAAAGGGCUUUUCUGGUUGAAGAGGGAUGGACAGUAGACCAGGAAGAAGUGUCGGCUAACUACGUGCCAGCAGCCGCGGUAAAACGUAGGACGCAAGCGUUAUCCGGAGUUACUGGGCGUAAAGCGCGGGCAGGCGGUCCCUGAAGUCCGACGUGAAAGCUCCCGGCUCAACCGGGAGAGGCCGUGGGAAACUCGAGGACUGGAGAGCAGCAGAGGUGGGCGGAAUUCCGGGUGGAGUGGUGAAAUGCGUAGAGAUCCGGAGGAACACCAGAGGCGAAGGCGGCCCACUGGGCUGCAUCUGACGCUGAGCCGCGACAGCCAGGGGAGCGAACGGGAUUAGAACCCCGGUAGUCCUGGCCGUAAACGAUCGUGCGCUAGGGUGUCGGGGGGUUACGACCUUCGGCGUCCGAAGCUUAACGCGAUAAGCGC